CUACGUGCCAGCAGCCGCGGUAAUACGUAGGGUGCGAGCGUUAAUCGGAAUUACUGGGCGUAAAGCGAGCGCAGACGGUUACUUAAGCAGGAUGUGAAAUCCCCGGGCUCAACCUGGGAACUGCGUUCUGAACUGGGUGACUAGAGUGUGUCAGAGGGAGGUAGAAUUCCACGUGUAGCAGUGAAAUGCGUAGAGAUGUGGAGGAAUACCGAUGGCGAAGGCAGCCUCCUGGGAUAACACUGACGUUCAUGCUCGAAAGCGUGGGUAGCAAACAGGAUUAGAUACCCUGGUAGUCCACGCCCUAAACGAUGUCAAUUAGCUGUUGGGCAACUUGAUUGCUUAGUAGCGUAGCUAACGCGUGAAAUUGACCGCCUGGGGAGUACGGUCGCAAGAUUAAAACUCAAAGGAAUUGACGGGGACCCGCACAAGCGGUGGAUGAUGUGGAUUAAUUCGAUGCAACGCGAAGAACCUUAC
rnacentral:rRNA from 1 species